rnacentral:tRNA from 1 species
CGCGCGGCAUUGGCGAGCUUGCGCGCGAGCGCUGGCGCCGCUCGUGCGGCAAGCGCAUCGCCAUCCGUGCGGAUCGCGCGUUGAGCGA